rnacentral:rRNA from 2 species
GACGCUGGCGGCGUGCCUAAUACAUGCAAGUCGAACGAACUCUGGUAUUGAUUGGGUGCUUGCAUCAUGAUUUACAUUUGAGUGAGUGGCGAACUGGUGAGUAACACGUGGGAAACCUGCCCAGAAGCGGGGGAUAACACCUGGAAACAGAUGCUAAUACCGCAUAACAACUUGGACCGCAUGGUCCGAGUUGAAAGAUGGCUUCGGCUAUCACUUUUGGAUGGUCCCGCGGCGUAUUAGCUAGAUGGUGGGUAACGGCUCACCAUGGCAAUGAUACGUAGCCGACCUGAGAGGGUAAUCGGCCACAUUGGGACUGAGACA